AUGCUUACUACACGUUUCGGGAAUGUAUCUAGUGAUGGAUUGCAUAACCAGCCAGAUAUGACGGAUACUCAAAACAAGGCUGUUGUUGAUGCUUCCGUGAAGAGGUGCGGUUCUUCUCUCGUCCGUAACUUGGAAAAGCAAUAUUCCAGGCGUCGCAAGAAAUUACGCCUACCUUCUUCGCCCAUGGCCACUGGUACAACUGUUUCUGACCAGCCAUCGUUGGAUGAUACACAUCGUUCUAUCAAGGCAAUAGUCAUCAAUGAGCUUGGCAUUGUAGGCCCUGAUAAGGGCACUAACUCAGUAAUUGCCAAUCCCAUGCGGAAGAAGCAACAUCCUCGCAAGUGA
rnacentral:rRNA from 1 species